CCCCGGGAGGCUCGGGCCUUAGGAAGUGGGUGGGGGCGAGAGCCAGUGCCCCUGGCCGCUCAGGUCUUGGGGGGGGGGGCAGGCCCCAUCCCUCACUGAGCCUCCGUUUCUAGACUCUGAACCCGCGGGGAGUCUCGUCCGGUUCCUGCAGCAGGGAGCGCGGCGACAGAAAUGCGUCCCGGCCCACGCCGCCACCUCGGGGCUGUGUCAGCUCCGCCCGGGAGCAGGUGACGGCCCAGCCACCGGGUCGCAGCGCGGUCGCGCGGGUGGAGCCGGCUUCACCGGACGCGGGUUAUCUCCGAGAGAGAGCUACAUCCUGCCUCCCAGUGCCAGCCGGGGUGGCUCCUGUCCAACCGCGUGCUGCCCGCGUUCUCCCGGGACGGCUGCAGGCCGGCCCCCCGGCGCUCCGAGUUUCAGAUCAGCCACGGCGGCCGGGAGCAUCAGCCCCAUUUUCCAGAGGGGAAAACAGAGGCGAGGCGAGGAGAGACCACACCGUCUGAAAGAGCACGCUGAAGAGGCGGACGCACGGGGGCUGCACAGGGAGGACUGGAGCUAACGCCCACACUCCACCGGGAGCCUUCCGGGGAGCGCGGCCCCGGGACACCCCCAUCUCGGACUUCUGGACUCCAGACCUGAGGGACAGUCGCUCUCUGCCGUCCUGAGCCCCCAGCGUGUGGCCCCGAGUUUCAGCAGCCCCCGCCCGGCUGCCGCGCUUCACACCUGCACCAGCCCCGAACGGGGCGCCUCUCCUCCGCACCCCUGCCGACAGGCCGCAUACCUCCUUUUUCUUUCUUU